UACGUAGGGACCGAGCGUUGUCCGGAAUCAUUGGGCGUAAAGAGCGUGUAGGCGGUUAGGUAGGUCCGUUGUGAAAACUCGAGGCUCAACCUCGAGACGCCGAUGGAAACCAUCUAACUAGAGUCCGGAAGAGGAGAGUGGAAUUCCUGGUGUAGCGGUGAAAUGCGCAGAUAUCAGGAAGAACACCCGUGGCUAAGGCGGCUCUCUAGUACGGUACUGACGCUGAGGUGCGAAAGCGUGGGGAGCAAACAGG
rnacentral:rRNA from 1 species